rnacentral:tRNA from 1 species
UCCAGGGUAGCCUAGUGGACAUGGCAUCUGCUCGGUAAGCGGAACAUUGUGGGUUCGUUUCCCAUCCCUGGAC